rnacentral:misc_RNA from 1 species
AACGCACAUUGCGCCCAUUAGUAUUCUAGUGGGCAUGCCUGUUCGAGCGUCAUUUCAACCCUCAAGCAGCCUGGCUGUUUGGUGCUGGGGCGAUCUACAGCAUAUCUGUAGGCCCUGAAAUACAGUGGCGGACCCGCUGGGACUCCGAGCGUAGUAAUUUUACAUUUUCUCGCUUAGGGUGUUCUGGCGGGUGACCGGCCGUAAAACCCCCCACUAUUACCAAAGGUUGACCUCGGAUCAGGUAGGAUUACCCGCUGAACUUAA